rnacentral:lncRNA from 1 species
CCCGUUUUCUUGGGCUCCUGGCGUUCUCUUGCGUUCCGUCUGCAUUUCGACACGGCACCGCUGCACUACUGGACUACAGCGAGCUGAUGGCAUCCGGUGGAGCUUCGUACGGCAACGACUGCUGCUUACCUGGUGCCACAACUUUGGAUGAAUGCAGAAGCCCGGAACGAGCAUUUAUAUAGAGCGAAAUAAACAUUUCAUCAUUUCAGAAGA